CAGCUCGUGUUGUGAAAUGUUGGGUUAAGUCCCGCAACGAGCGCAACCCUUAUCCUUUGUUGCCAGCGGUCCGGCCGGGAACUCAAAGGAGACUGCCAGUGAUAAACUGGAGGAAGGGGGGGAUGACGUCAAGUCAUCAUGGCCCUUACGAGUAGGGCUACACACGUGCUACAAUGGCAUAUACAAAGAGAAGCGACCUCGCGAGAGCAAGCGGACCUCAUAAAGUAUGUCGUAGUCCGGAUUGGAGUCUGCAACUCGACUCCAUGAAGUC
rnacentral:rRNA from 1 species